AGAACGAACGCUGGCGGCGUGGAUAAGACAUGCAAGUCGAACGCGACUUAUCGAGUUAGCAAUAACUUGGUGAGUUGAGUGGCGAAAGGGUGCGUAACACGUGGGAAUUUACCAAGAAGUGGGGGAUAGCUCGACGAAAGUCGAAUUAAUACCGCAUGUGAUCGCAAAGAUCAAAGCCGGGGACCGCAAGGCCUGGCGCUUUUUGAGAGGCCCGCGGCCCAUCAGCUAGUUGGUGAGGUAAAAGCUCACCAAGGCUAUGACGGGUAGCUGGUCUGAGAGGACGACCAGCCACACUGGAACUGAGACACGGUCCAGACACCUACGGGUGGCAGCAGUCGAGAAUUUUCACAA
rnacentral:rRNA from 1 species